rnacentral:rRNA from 1 species
UAGGAUCUUCCACAAUGGACGAAAGUCUGAUGGAGCAACGCCGCGUGAGUGAAGAAGGGUUUCGGCUCGUAAAACUCUGUUGUUAAAGAAGAACAUAUCUGAGAGUAACUGUUCAGGUAUUGACGGUAUUUAACCAGAAAGCCACGGCUAACUACGUGCCAC